UGAGUACGAGAUGCUACGGCAUCGAAGCAGUCUAUGUCAUACUUCCAAGAAAAGCUCGCACUGUCAUAAACAAAUAAUGCCUGUACCAUAACCGACACAGGUGGGUAGGUAGAGUAUACUAAGGGGCGCGAGAUAACUCUCUCUAAGGAACUCGGCAAAAUGACUCCGUAACUUCGGGAGAAGGAGUGCCUUAUUUAUAAGGUUGCAAUAACAAGAUCCAAGCAACUGUUUAUCAAAAACACAGGUCUCCGCUAAGUCGUAAGACGAUGUAUGGGGGCUGACGCCUGCCCAGUGCCAGAAGGUUAAAGAAGUUGGUUAGCAUUAGCGAAGCUGAUAACUGAAGCCCUGGUGAACGGCGGCCGUAACAAUAACGGUCCUAAGGUAGCGAAAUUCCUUGUCGGGUAAGUUCCGACCCGCACGAAAGGCGUAAUGAUUUGGAUACUGUCUCGGAGAGGGGCUCGGUGAAAUAGACUUGUCUGUGAAGAUGCGGACUACCUGCACCAGGACAGAAAGACCCUAUGAAGCUUUACUGUAACUUGAAAUUGAAAUUGGACUUUAUUUGCGCAGCAUAGGUGGGAGGCGUUGAAAAUAUUCUCGCGGGAAUAUUAGAGCCAUCAGUGAGAUACCACUCUUGUAAUGUUAGAUUUCUAACUUUGUAUCAUUAUCUGGUCAAAGAACAGUUUCAGGCGGCAGUUUGACUGGGGCGGUCGCCUCCUAAACGGUAACGGAGGCGCACAAAGGUUUCCUCUGAACGGGUAGAAAUCGUAUCUAGAGUGUAAAGGCAUAAGGAAGCUUGACUGUGAGACCUACAAGUCGAGCAGGGACGAAAGUCGGUCUUAGUGAUCUGACGGUGCUGAGUGGAAAGGCCGUCACUCAACGGAUAAAAGUUACUCUAAGGAUAACAGGCUGAUCUCCCCCAAGAGUUCACAUCGACGGGGAGGUUUGGCACCUCGAUGUCGGCUCAUCGCAUCCUGGGGCGGUAGUACGUCCCAAGGGUUGGGCUGUUCGCCCAUGAAAGCGGUACGCGAGCUGGGUUCAGAACGUCGUGAGACAGUUCGUCCAUAUCCGGUGUAGGCGUUAGAAUAUUGAGAGGAGCCUUCUUUAGUACGAGAGGACCGAGAAGGACAUACCUCUGGUGUACCAGUUAUCGUGCCAACGGUAAACGCUGGGUAGCUAUGUAUGGAGAGGAUAACCGCUGAAAGCAUCUAAGUGGGAAGCCCACCUCAAGAUAAGUAUUCUC
rnacentral:rRNA from 1 species